GACAGAGGUCCCGAGCGUUAGGCGGAAUCACUGGGCUUAAAGCGUGUGUAGGCGGAUCGUUAAGUGCCUUGUGAAAUCCGAUGGCUUAACCAUGGAACUGCUUGGCAUACUGGCGGUCUUGAGCCACUUAGGGGCAACCGGAACAAAUGGUGGAGCGGUGAAAUGCGUAGAUAUCAUUUGGAACGCCAAUGGUGAAAACAGGUUGCUGGGAGUGUGCUGACGCUGAGACACGAAAGCCAGGGGAGCGAACGGG
rnacentral:rRNA from 1 species